AAAAAAAACGACGCUACACUAGGGGGUAACACCUGUGUGUUGAUGGUUGUCAAGUGGUAAAGAGUGGCCAAAAGAUGAUUGGUGUCCUCAUUUCUUCAACAAAUACUAUCUAACAAGCACUACGCCAUUAACGACAACGGUAACGAGUGACAUUGGGUAAUUUCUACGCAAAAUUUGUCAUAGGCCUCUUUUCUCAUUAUAACUUCGUUCAAAGGGAACUUGUCACAUACAAAGACAAAGAAAGCAAUGAAAGUAAUACCAUUUUAAAGAUUUAUUUAGGGAGAGGUCUGUGACCCACCAACAGACCCAACGGUUUUUGGGUAAAUCUCUAUCAAUAUGAUCAAGAUUUAUGAUUUGUUUAAAAUUCUAUGAAGUACAAUACGCUAUAUAAAUUAUAAAUCUAAAGAACGAAUAGUUUGUUGAAUGAAAUAGAAAAACCAUUCACUUAAAAGUCAAGUCUAUCUUUCUCUGUAAUCACCGUUAGUGGCAUAAAAUGUCGAGCAUUGUAGACAUGGUGGUCACAAUACAUAAGCUUUAUGCA